rnacentral:rRNA from 1 species
AUUUAACGCUGGCGGCAGGCCUAACACAUGCAAGUCGAGCGAGCGGCGGACGGGUGAGUAAUGUAUGGGGACUGCCCGAUAGAGGGGGAUCACUACUGGAAACGGUAGCUAAUACCGCAUACUAUCGGAUAACCCAUAUGGGAUUAGCUAGUAGGUGAGGUAAUGACUCACAUAGGCGACGAUCCCUAGCUGGUCUGAGAGGAUGAUCAGAGACACUGGGACUGCGACACGGCGCAGAGUACAAGGGAGGGAGCAGUGGGGAAUAUGGCAGAAUGGGCGGAAGCCUGAUGCAGCCAUGCCGCGUGUAUGAAGAAGGCCGUAGGGAUGUAAAGUACUUUCAGUCGGGAGGCGUUACCGACAGAAGAAGCACCGGCUAACUCCGUGCCAGCAGCCGCGGUAAUUC